UACAGAGGUCUCAAGCGUUGUUCGGAUUCAUUGGGCGUAAAGGGUGUGUAGGUGGCGCGCUAAGUCGGGUGUGAAAUUUCGGAGCUUAACUCCGAAACUGCAUUCGAUACUGCGGUGCUUGAGGACUGGAGAGGAGACUGGAAUUUACGGUGUAGCAGUGAAAUGCGUAGAGAUCGUAAGGAAGACCAGUGGCGAAGGCGGGUCUCUGGACAGUUCCUGACACUGAGACACGAAGGCCAGGGGAGCAAACGGG
rnacentral:rRNA from 1 species